UUAUUUCUGUUAGUGGAGAGAGAAGAAGAGAGACAGAAGUGCUGAGGUUGCUGAAGAAAAUUCGUUGGAUUUUUUUAAUAUAUUUUCUUUCUAUACUGGUGUGCCCUGUGUGCAGCCCAAUGAUGCGAUUAGCAAUAAUGAUUUUUACAUGCUUGGGCCUUGGAAUUCUUUAUAUUUUGCUUCGCCUGGCCAGAGUUGUAAGGAAACGAUUCCAGGUCACAGAGGGAAACGGAGAAGGACAGGUUUAGACGAUGAAGGAAGACAAGGAGAGGAGAAGAUGUUACAAUCACCGCAAGGGAAACAACCUGGAUUCUUUAUUUAUUUAUUUUUCAGUUCUGUUUAGUUCUGUUUAUUGAAAUGUAUCAGAAAAAGGUGUACAUACAGCAGUAAGAUAAGAGUAAAUGUACAUUUCUUAUUUUACAAAUCCUUAUCAAUAUGUUUUAGACAACUGUAAACAAUAAAACUUGACAGAGCAUUACACCUUUAAAGCCUGUUAUGCAUUUACAUUA